rnacentral:rRNA from 1 species
GUCCACGCUGUAAACCAUGUCAACUAGGUGUCGGUGGUGUUACACUAUCGGUGCCGAAGCUAACGCGUUAAGUUGACCGCCUGGGGACUACGAGCGCAAGCUUAAAACUCAAAGGAAUUGACGGGGGCCCCGCACAAGCAGCGGAGCGUGUGGUUUAAUUCGAUGCAACACGAAGAACCUUACCUGGGCUUGACAUGAGCGUAGUAGUGAACCGAAAGGGGAACGAGCCUUCGGGCAGCGCCCACAGGUGUUGCAUGGCUGUCGU